GACGAACGCUGGCGGCGUGCUUAACACAUGCAAGUCGAACGGAAAGGCCCUGCUUUUGUGGGGUGCUCGAGUGGCGAACGGGUGAGUAACACGUGAGUAACCUGCCCUUGACUUUGGGAUAACUUCAGGAAACUGGGGCUAAUACCGGAUAGGAGCUCCUGCUGCAUGGUGGGGGUUGGAAAGUUUCGGCGGUUGGGGAUGGACUCGCGGCUUAUCAGCUUGUUGGUGGGGUAGUGGCUUACCAAGGCUUUGACGGGUAGCCGGCCUGAGAGGGUGACCGGCCACAUUGGGACUGAGGUACGGCCCAGACUCAUACGGGAGGCAGCAGUGGGGAAUAUUGCGCAAUGGGCGGAAGCCUGAUGCAGCAACGCCGCGUGCGGGAUGACGGCCUUCGGGUUGUAAACCGCUUUCGCCUGUGACGAAGCGUGAGUGACGGUAAUGGGUAAAGAAGCACCGGCUAACUACGUG
rnacentral:rRNA from 1 species